rnacentral:tRNA from 1 species
GCAUUCGUAGCUCAACUGGAUAGAGCAGCGGUCUUCGAAACCGCAGGCUGGAGGUUCGAAUCCUCCCGGGUGCG